rnacentral:rRNA from 1 species
UACGGAGGGGGCAAGCGUUGUCCGGACUUACUGGGCGUAAAGAGCUCGUAGGCGGUCUGUCGCGUCGGUCGUGAAAACUUGGGGCUUAACCCUGAGCUUGCGGUCGAUACGGGCAUGACUGGAGUUCGGCAGGGGAGACUGGAAUUCCUGGUGUAGCGGUGAAAUGCGCAGAUAUCAGGAGGAACACCGGUGGCGAAGGCGGGUCUCUGGGCCGAUACUGACGCUGAGGAGCGAAAGCGUGGGGAGCGAACAGG